rnacentral:tRNA from 1 species
GGAGAGGUGUCCGAGUCCGGUUGAUGGUGACGGUCUUGAAAACCGUUGUACGUUUGCGCGUACCGUGGGUUCGAAUCCCACCCUCUCCGCCA